UCUAUCCUCAAGGGUCUAUAAAUUGGUUGAGGCCAAGCCGCAUUAAGUUCACACAACAAUCUUGUCUUCCACCUUAAUUGUGUUGUUAAGAAAAACAUGGCAUCAUCCUCCAAGACUUUUCUUCUUCUUGGCUUUAUGUUUGCUCUUGUGAUCCUCAUCUCCUCUGAGGUCUCAGCUCGUGAGCUAGUGGAAAUUACGAAGCCAGCAACCUAUAUUGGGGUUGGAGCCUUAACACCCGGGCCAGCCUUCGCUUGCGGUCGUAAGGCGUAUGCUAAAUGCAUACCUAAACCGAGAGGGUAUGGCCCCCCAGCCCCUGGCCCCGGGAGAGUAUAGGCACGGCCAAGGGCACCAUGAAAAACCAGGACCUGGUGUUGCUGAGACUGAAAUUAGGAAUUAAAUAGUUACCCCUUUUCAGUGGAUAUUGGUUGAGUUGUUAUGUGGUAAUAUAGUAAGUGUUUUAUCAAUUAUAAAGGUUAAUGUACUGUGUUGGUUGAGUUGUUAAUAAAACUCUCAAUCAUAAUUAAUUAGGAUUUUAAGGUUGAUCUUUGUACUAGUACUCAUAUCACAAUAUGUGUCUAAGUAUGUGGCUUUCUAUCUUUAUAUAUGUUUGAAAUCUAUCCUAGUAAUUUCAAUCUUUA